UAUGUAGGUGGUUAAGUAAGUCGAGCGUGAAAUCCAUUGGCUCAACCAAUGAACUGCACUCGAAACUGCAUAACUUGAGUUCAGGAGAGGAAAGCGGAAUUCCCGGUGUAAGAGUGAAAUCUGUAGAGAUCGGGAGGAACACCAGUGGCGAAGGCGGCUUUCUGGACUGAUACUGACACUGAAAUACGAAAGCUAGGGGAGCAAACAGGAUUAGAUACCCUGGUAGUC
rnacentral:rRNA from 1 species